rnacentral:tRNA from 1 species
GGGCGUAUAGUUCAGUGGUAGAACAUAAGAGUUUAGGAAAUUGAUGUGUAUGUUCAGAUACCAAGCCGGCAAGGGUGAACAGAAACUACAUUGAUUCGUUCUGUAUGUCAUGGGUUCGAUUCCCAUUGCGCUUA